rnacentral:tRNA from 1 species
GCGACCGUGGCGGAAUUGGCAGACGCGCCGGAUUUAGGUUCCGGUAUCUUUGAUGUGGGAGUUCAAGUCUCUUCGGUCGCACCA